AGGCGCCGAGCGGUGAAUAACACGUGAGUACCCGCCUUAGACAUGGGAUAGCCUCGGAAACCGGGAUUAAUCCCAAAUGAAAUCACAUUGCCACCUGCAUAAAUGAUCAAAGCUCCGGCGGUCUAAGAUGGACUCGCGUCCCCUUAGCUAGUUGGUGAGGUAACGGCCCCACCAAGGCGACGAUGGGUAGCCGGCCUGAGAGGGUGAACGGCCACAUUGGAACUGAGAAACGGUCCAAACUCCUACGGGAGGCAGCAGUGGGGAAUAUUGCACAAUGGAGGGAACUCUGAUGCAGCGACGCCGCGUGAACGAAGAAGGCUUUCGAGUCGUAAAGUUCUUUUAUAUGGGAAGAUAAUGACGGUACCAUAAGAAAAAGCCCCGGCUAACUACGUGCCAGCAGCCGCGGUAAUACGUAGGGGGCUAGCGUUGUCCGGAAUCACUGGGCGUAAAGGGUUCGCAGGCGGAAAUGCAAGUCAGGUGUAAAAGGCAGUAGCUUAACUACUGUAAGCAUUUGAAACUGCAUAUCUUGAGAAGAGUAGAGGUAAGUGGAAUUUUUAGUGUAGCGGUGAAAUGCGUAGAUAUUAAAAAGAAUACCGGUGGCGAAGGCGACUUACUGGGCUCAUUCUGACGCUGAGGAACGAAAGCGUGGGUAGCAAACAGGAUUAGAUACCCUGGUAGUCCACGCUGUAAACGAUGAGUGCUAGGUAUCGGAAUAAUUCGGUGCCGCAGUUAACACAUUAAGCACUCCGCCUGGGGAGUACGUGCGCAAGCAUGAAACUCAAAGGAAUUGACGGGGACCCGCACAAGCAGCGGAGCAUGUGGUUUAAUUCGAAGCAACGCGAAGAACCUUACCAGGGCUUGACAUACUGAGGACCGGUAUAGAGAUAUACCCUCUUCUUCGGAAGCCUCAAUACAGGUGGUGCAUGGUUGUCGUCAGCUCGUGUCGUGAGAUGUUCAGUUAAGUCUGGCAACGAGCGCAACCCCUAUCUUUAGUUACCAGCAUUUCGGAUGGGGACUCUAAAGAGACUGCCGAUGAUAAAUCGGAGGAAGGUGGGGAUGACGUCAAAUCAUCAUGCCCUAUAUGCCCUGGGCUACACACGUGCUACAAUGGAAGAUACAAAGGGAAGCGAAAUAGUGAUAUUAAGCAAACCUCAAAAAGUCUUUCCCAGUUCGGAUUGUACUCUGCAACUCGAGUACAUGAAGAUGGAGUUGCUAGUAAUCGCAGAU
rnacentral:rRNA from 1 species